CGAGAAGCGAGUGGUUGACGCCACUUUAUAUAGUGACUCUCCAACGAGAUGGCCUACGUUUCAGAACUUGGCAGACGGAAAUGCGGGUAGUGAUUCGGAGAACGCUGUGCCAGGAGUUUCAGAUUAGUCAACAGACUAUACCGCACCAUCUUCAGAAUCACUUUCAAUAAGCAAUGUAAGUGACUUAAAAGAAAAUCAUAUAUACGGAAAAGAAAAGGGCUGUAAAUCAAUUCGAAAAAACCUUCUAAAUAA